UUUCCUGACCCCAGAGGCUUCCUGCACUCCUCAGCUUGUGCUGCCCUUCUUGAAUGACUGGAGGUUCCUGCUUCCAACACUACACUUCCCAUCGCUCUCCAUCACCUGCUCUGUUCUGAUAAGGAUCUGGGCUGGCUGCAGUCUUCGUUCCCUGCAACAUUUGUCUCCUGGGUUCAAGUGAUUCUUCUACCUCAACCUCCUGAACAGCUGGUACUACAGUUUUCAGAGAAAUGCAGUGAUGGUAUCACCGAUCUACAUAAACACAUUGAAGAACUAUCCAAAAGAAAAUAUGGGAUGUUGAAGAACUGUCUGAAAGAAGAUAUGGUAUGUCUAAACUGGAAAAAUCCUGUAAUGCUUUGUUCAUGAGAGUUUACACAAUGGAGUCAGUGUUCAUCUUGUAGUGUCUGUCCAAGUAUUAGGAACAUUCUAUCUUUCUAGGUUACUGCAAAGCUAAGGAAAAGUUGUAUCUCUUAAAUUAUCAG
rnacentral:lncRNA from 13 species